rnacentral:rRNA from 1 species
UACGGGGGGAGCAAGCGUUGUUCGGAUUUACUGGGCGUAAAGGGCGCGUAGGCGGCGCAACAAGUCACUUGUGAAAUCUCCGGGCUUAACCCGGAGCGGCCAAGUGAUACUGUCGUGCUAGAGUGCGGAAGGGGCUACUGGAAUUCUCGGUGUAGCGGUGAAAUGCGUAGAUAUCAGGAGGAACACCUGAGGUGAAGACGGGUUGCUGGGCUGACACUGACGCUGAGGCGCGAAAGCCAGGGGAGCAAACGGG